CAAACUGGGAUUAGAUACCCCACUAUGCCUGGCCCUAAAUCUUGAUACUUACCCUACCGAAGUAUCCGCCAGAGAACUACGAGCACAAACGCUUAAAACUCUAAGGACUUGGCGGUGCCCUAAACCCACCUAGAGGAGCCUGUUCUGUAAUCGAUGAUCCACGAUCAACCCAACCGCCCCUUGCCAAGCACAGCCUACAUACCGCCGUCGCCAGCCCACCUCGAAUGAGAGCGCAACAGUGGGCGCAACAGCACCCCGCUAAUAAGACAGGUCAAGGUAUAGCCUAUGGGACGGAAGAAAUGGGCUACAUUCCCUAUGCAUAGGGCAACACGGAAAGAAGUAUGAAACUGCUUCUAGAAGGAGGAUUUAGCAGUAAAGCGGGACAAUAAAGCUCGCUUUAAGCCGGCCCUAGGGCACGUACACACCGCCCGUCACCCUC
rnacentral:rRNA from 1 species